UACGUAGGGUGCAAGCGUUGUCCGGAAUUAUUGGGCGUAAAGAGCUCGUAGGCGGUUUGUCGCGUCUGCUGUGAAAACUCGGGGCUUAACUCCGGGCCUGCAGUGGGUACGGGCAGACUAGAGUGCGGUAGGGGAGACUGGAAUUCCUGGUGUAGCGGUGAAAUGCGCAGAUAUCAGGAGGAACACCGGUGGCGAAGGCGGGUCUCUGGGCCGAUACUGACGCUGAGGAGCGAAAGCGUGGGGAGCGAACCGG
rnacentral:rRNA from 1 species